AUGGAGGAGGAAACAGAAAAUAAUAAUAAAAAAAUAAAUAAUAUGCAGGAUGAAGAAGAAGAAAAAAAUAAUAUAAAUUCGAAUUGUUUUAUUCCAACUUUUUAUAAAAAUGCAAACCAUAUGACUGUAACUGUAAGUGCUAUAAAUGCAACUGAUGCAUCACUUAUUAGUACUAGUAGUACCCAAUUUAAUGUAGAGCAGCAGCAGCAACAACAACAACAACAACAACAACAACAACAACAGCAACAAAAACAGCAACAAAAACAACAAGAACAACAGCAGCAACAACAACAACAACAACAACAACAACAACAACAAGAUGAAGAAGUAAAGACUAACACAAUAUGUGAAGAAAAAAAUGUGAAAAACCUGAACACACCAGAUUAUACGGUGUAUAACAUAAAUUUAAAUUCUGAACAGAAUAUUAUGGUAAAUAAAAAAGAAAAUGAUUCAUAUAACUUUAUUAAUAAAAAAAAUAUUUUAAAUUUGAAUAAGUACAAAAUUACAGAUGACCAAAAAAAUAAAGAUGAAUUAUGUAGUUAUAAAAAUAAUAUAAAAUAUGGGUUUAUUAAUAAUCAUACUUUUCAGUUAUAUAAGGAGUUGGACAAUAAUAAUAGUGAAAGCAUUAAUGAAAAUAAUAACAACAGCUAUUGUAGUACUAGCUGUAAUAAUAACAAUAACAUUAAAAACAAUAAUAAUUAUAACAAUAAUAAUAAUUAUAACAAUAAUAAUAAUUAUAAUAUAAAAUAUAACAAUCCAAUUACCAACCAUUGUAACAUUAAUAAUAAUAGUAAUAAUAAUAAUAAUAAUAAUAAUAAUAUUAUUAAUAAUAACUUUAUUGCUAAUAAUAAAUGUACAUUUAAUAAUUAUCCCAUUUCUUCUUUUUCAACGGGAAAACGUAAAACUCAACAUAAUAAUUUUAUUAUGAACAAAGCAAGGACAUUAAAUGAUAAAACCAGUUUAAAGUCUGACACCAUAAAGUUUCCUGAACGUGAACAGCCUGUCAACACAGACCAUAUGAGUACGACUAUCCAUGCUAGGACAAACAUAAACACAAAUGCAAACACAAAUAUAAACACAAACACAAAUAUAAACACAAAUAUAAACACAAACACAAAUAUAAACACGAACACAAAUAUAAACACAAACACAAAUAUAAACACAAACACAAAUAUAAACACAAACGCGAACUUUAUAAAUAUGCACAGAUAUAAUAACUCUGGAAGUCUCAACAUAGACAGGCUAAACACACUUAACAACUUAAAUUUUGGUAAUAAUAGUAUUUAUAAUAUUAAAAGAAAAAUAAAAAGAAAACUAAAAGAAAAUGAUUAUUUAUUUGGUGCAAUAAAUGAAUUAUUUUACCAGGGGUUAUGUGAUGAAUGUAUUCCAUUAUUUGAAAGAGCACAACAAAAUUUAUUUUUUUUAGUAAUGUUAGCCAAUGCACAAAAUGUUUUUUCUGAUGACCUAGAAGAUAUAUAA
rnacentral:lncRNA from 1 species